rnacentral:rRNA from 1 species
UGGGGAAUAUUGCACAAUGGGCGCAAGCCUGAUGCAGCCAUGCCGCGUGUAUGAAGAAGGCCUUCGGGUUGUAAAGUACUUUCAGCGGGGAGGAAGGUGUUGAGGUUAAUAACCUCAGCAAUUGACGUUACCCGCAGAAGAAGCACCGGCUAACUCCGUGCCAGCAGCCGCGGUAAUACGGAGGGUGCAAGCGUUAAUCGGAAUUACUGGGCGUAAAGCGCACGCAGGCGGUCUGUCAAGUCGGAUGUGAAAUCCCCGGGCUCAACCUGGGAACUGCAUUCGAAACUGGCAGGCUAGAGUCUUGUAGAGGGGGGUAGAAUUCCAGUUGUAGCGGUGAAAUGCGUAGAGAUCUGGAGGAAUACCGGUUGCGAAGGCGGCCCCCUGGACAAAGACUGACGCUCAGGUGCGAAAGCGUGGGGAGCAAACA